AUGAACGCUGGCGGCGUGCCUAAUACAUGCAAGUCGCGCGAACGGACGAGAAGCUUGCUUCUCUGAUGUUAGCGGCGGACGGGUGAGUAACACGUGGAUAACCUACCUAUAAGACUGGGAUAACUUCGGGAAACCGGAGCUAAUACCGGAUGAUAUUUUGAACCGCAUGGUUCAAAAGUGAAAGACGGUCUUGCUGUCACUUAUAGAUGGAUCCGCGCUGCAUUAGCUAGUUGGUAAGGUAACGGCUUACCAAGGCAACGAUGCAUAGCCGACCUGAGAGGGUGAUCGGCCACACUGGAACUGAGGCACGGUCCAGACUCCUACGGGAGGCAGCAGUAGGGAAUCUUCCGCAAUGGGCGAAAGCCUGACGGAGCAACGCCGCGUGAGUGAUGAAGGUCUUCGGAUCGUAAAACUCUGUUAUUAGGGAAGAACAUAUGUGUAAGUAACUGUGCACAUCUUGACGGUACCUAAUCAGAAAGCCACGGCUAACUACGUG
rnacentral:rRNA from 1 species